rnacentral:rRNA from 1 species
CAGUAGUGUAUAUUAAUGUUGUUGCAGUUAAAAAGCUCGUAGUCGAAAGGAAGCUUGUAGUUUGAAGGGCAGUUGUGAAAGCAGGUGUCUGGAGGGGUAUGAGCAGGAAGGAGUGUAAGGGUAGUGUGUUGCUUAGUUGGAACAUAGCAAAAGAGCGGCCCCGAGUGGGGUAGCUUGAUCCUUACACUAGGUUACCUUGAAUAAAAUAGAGCGUUCAAAGCAGUUUAGGUGAAUAAUGGAGCAUGGGACAACGCAAUAGGCCAUGGAUACCCUUUUAGGGGGGGUUUGCAUGGAAUGAUGAAUAGGGAUGACUGGGGAUAUUCGAAUUGGAAGGCAAGAGGUGAAAUUCAGUGAUUCUUCCAAGACGGACCAAAGCGAAAGCACUUAUCAAGGGCGUUUUCAUUGA